GAUGAACGCUGGCGGCGUGCCUAAUACAUGCAAGUCGAGCGAACAGACCAGGAGCUUGCUCCCCUGACGUUAGCGGCGGACGGGUGCGUAACACGUGGAUAACCUACCUAUAAGACUGGGAUAACUUCGGGAAACCGGAGCUAAUACCGGAUAAUAUAUUGAACCGCAUGGUUCAAUAGUGAAAGACGGUUUUGCUGUCACUUAUAGAUGGAUCCGCGCCGCAUUAGCUAGUUGGUAAGGUAACGGCUUACCAAGGCAACGAUGCGUAGCCGACCUGAGAGGGUGAUCGGCCACACGGGAACUGAGACACGGUCCAGACUCCUGCGGGAGGCAGCAGUAGGGAAUCUUCCGCAAUGGGCGAAAGCCUGACGGAGCAACGCCGCGUGAGUGAUGAAGGUCUUCGGAUCGUAAAACUCUGUUAUUAGGGAAGAACAAAUGUGUAAGUAACUAUGCACGUCUUGACGGUACCUAAUCAGAAAGCCACGGCUAACUACGUG
rnacentral:rRNA from 1 species